UUGCUUGAGCAAAAAUUAUUGGCGAAAAUAGUUUCCAAAUGUAGAUAAGAAAUCAAAAAAAUAUUAACCAAGCAUUGUUAUUAAGCAAUGAGGAGGAGGGACUUGACACAAUAAUAAGGUUGCUCCUCUGUGGCCUAGAGGUUAUGGGUUCAAAACACAGAAGUAGCUUCUCAAUACGUGAGGAUAAGGCUAUGUGCAUCUGACUCUUCUCGGACCUCGCAAUGGCAGGAGCCUCAUAAACUGGGCCACUCUUUUUAUGUUAUUAGGUGAUGAGCAUUUCGAGAAAUUAAAACCAGAAACAAUUCCCAGAGUAGCUAUUUUGUGUAUGAGAAAAUAAAGUUACUGUAUUCUUCUGGUUAUCCUAGUAUUCAUAGUUGAAGCUCUAACAACUAAAGGAUUGUGUCGAGGAAAAGAAUUUUGAAGAAACAACCAACUUUGUUUUUGUUUCUGCAGAUUUGGAGCACCUUUUUUGUCUUUUGCAAGAAUGGCCCAGUUUUGAAUGCUUUGGAUGCUUGUGCCCCUGGCCAUGUGGAUCCAAAUCUAGCUCGUGAAUGUAUAUUUUACAAUCAACAAAUAUGCCCACUAAAUAUUAAAAUUAUGUGCAUUGGUAUAAAAGCAUAAGCAUCCAGUAUCAAAAUAUGUGCAUCCAACUCCACUUACUAAUAGAAUGUAUCUGUUGGGGUCAAGGUCAAAGGCCUGAAAUUUUUACAACUCCACCAUUCUUGCAAAAUAAAAAUAAUGAUAAUGAUGAUGAUGAUGAUGAUGGUCUAAAUUUGAAAAAAAAGGAAAAUAAAAUAGGCUGUUUUUCAAAGAUCUCCUUAAGUCUAUUUUAUAAGGCAAUGGAGCUUCAGACUAUAGUGUUUUGAUAUAAUAUUUGUUCUCCAGCCUAGUCUUCGCAUCUCCAUCAGUUUUGGUAAUUCUCCCGCUUUCUUGUGAGCAUGUUUUUCACUAUAUAACAAUAUUAUUUCUAAUUGUCUUGUGCUUAUACUCUUUGUUUACGGCCUACCAUGUUAUAAGCCCUUCAAAAAUAAACCCAUAUUACUUUCGGGAAAACAUCCCAAACAUAUUCCUUUUUUUCUACAGUAAACUUUAAAUGAUAAAACUUGUAAAACAAUCACA
rnacentral:lncRNA from 1 species